UACGAAGGGGGCUCGCGUUGCUCGGAAUCACUGUGCGUAAAGGGUGCGUAGGCUGGGCUUUAAGUCAGGGGUGAAAUCCUGGAGCUCAACUCCAGAACUGCCUUUGAUACUGAAGAUCUUGAGUUCGGGAGAGGUGAGUGGAACUGCGAGUGUAGAGGUGAAAUUCGUAGAUAUUCGCAAGAACACCAGUGGCGAAGGCGGCUCACUGGCCCGGUACUGACGCUGAGGCACGAAAGCGUGGGGAGCAAACAGG
rnacentral:rRNA from 1 species